rnacentral:lncRNA from 1 species
UGUACUCUUAAAUCAUUUUUUUAUGUGUACCGUUUAAAUUUGUCCAACCAGUUGAUAUUUAUAGGAUAUGAAGUUAUCACAAUUCUCAAUAUUUAUCAUAUAUAUAUAUAUAUAUAUUUCAGAUUUUGAGGGUGCAAUGGCUCUCAUCAACCCUUCAACAUAUAUAGUUGCAUCUGCAUAUUGGGCUCAAAAUAGAAAAAAGACAACAACAAGAACAAAACUUCUUAUAAAUACAUCAUUCCGAACAACAGUCAAUAGUGUCCCUAGUGGUCCACGAGGAGCAGAAGAAGAAGAAGAAGAAGAAGAAGAAGAAGAUAGAAAUGGAUAUCCAACUACGAGUCUUUGUUGACUUGCGAGCCAAAAACUCCAAAGAAGGGCAAAAGACAGAUUCUUGCAUUGCAUGCAGGUUUUUUUCUUUUCUUUAUUUGCCCUCGGUUAACCGCGUUAGCGUGGGGUUAAGAUUUAAGACCUCACCGGUUAAUGCGCCGGUUGUCGCGGGUAAGUGAGCUGUCAAUUGUUGUUAAGAGAGAAAAGACAGUUAUGCUGUGCAAGUCACGUGCUUCUUCACAGUGGAAAAUCUUCUUCGGCUCUGCUUUCCAGAGACUUGUUAAUCGAUUUAUCUUGGAUACAUGCCAUGUCCUAAUUUAUGGAUUUUCUUACUAUUUUUUAUUUACUUUUCUUGAAUAAGCAGUGUUCUACAGCGAAAAAAGAAAGAAAAAAGAGAGAGACUAGACAGUAAGACAGAAGUGUUGAAUGGGUUACCUGCCUGACCUUAACUAGUUGUUUUUUAUAUUUUAAAAUAAAAUCAUUUUUAAUUUCGAAGUUUAGGUGCUCAUGGGUCUUCUUUUCAAGAACAGGCAUGGCUACGAUUUCUCCACGACUCUUUAACCUAUUUUUAAUUGUUUUUUAUAUUUUAAAAUAAAAUCAUUUUUAAAUAAAUAAUCACAAUGAUAUUUAUAAUAAAAAAUUUGAUUAUUUCAUUUUUUAAAUAAUAUUUGAUCUUUUUAUGAUAAUACUGAUAAUAAUUUUUUAAAUUAUUAUAUACGAACGUGAUAGACAAAUGUUUUUUUUUUUUAAAUUACACAUGGAUAAUCAAUGAGAAUAAUAUAUAUAUAUAAAUUUUUAUUAUGAAUUUUUUAUCUAUUUUUCUCAAAUUAAUUAUUCUUUUAGCUUUUAAUACAAUCAAAUAAAAAAUUUCUUUUAGAUCAUGAUUAUUUUUUUAAAACUUAUAACAAAAAAGACAUGCUUUAAUAAUAAAAAAAGAGAUACAUGAAUAAGGAAAGUUUUUUUUUUAUAUAUUUUUUUCCUCUUUAAUUUAAUUUACUAGAUUUUUCAUGAAUAUUUUUUAAUUACUAUUAGUUUUUAUUUAAUAAAACAUUCUGCUAGUAAAAAAGGACAUUAUUAUACAAAAAAAAUACAUGAAUGAUGAGAAAAUAUAAUUUUGACUAAAACAAUAUAUAUUUCUCCUUAAAAUUUUAAUUAUUGUUUUUUUUCUUAUAUAUAAAUACCUAUUUUAAUUCUCAUAUAAUUAAAUAAAAACAAAAUUUAAAAAGCGUUUCGCGGUGGCGUUGGGGGGGCACCGAGCUAGUUUCAAAUCUAACUAGUGGCAAGAGUUUAAAACAUUAAAAUUCAUUACAGUAAGACUUUAAAGAGGAUUUAUGCGGUCAGCGCUCAAACCUUAUCGCCAAGGCAUUAGUUAGCCACUAGGCAGCUACCUAAGUUAGCAAAUGAAGCUGCAAGAUAGUGGUGCAAUGCGGGAAUUGUGUGCAGAAUAUUGCCAGACCAUCCUAGCAUUUGUUCCAAAAUAUUGCAGGAUGAUUUUCCAGAGUCAGCUCUUGGAUCUUUCUCCUCAAUGAAAACCAGAUAUAUACCCCAUCGUGACUUUUUAUAGCCAGCAAUCGCUUUCCCAGUAUUCCCAAUAUUCUUGAUACUACAAGAAUAUUGAUUCUUUUAGUGCAAAAGAAAAUUAAUUUCCUCAGUAAUGCCUGCACCAUUGUCAAAAGGAAGUAUAUAUAGG